UCUGCCCUUAGAGGCACUGCAGGUAUGGCUGCUGUGUCAGAUGUGCGUCCUGAGGUGACAGAGAGGAGAGAGGCCAUAUCUAUGUUCAGCGUUUUGACCUGUGAACAUCUGAAUGAUUAGCAGCUUAGUAUU